AUUCAGCUGAAGAGUCCCAAAUAGGACAAAAUGCACGUCUUGAAU
rnacentral:hammerhead_ribozyme from 1 species